rnacentral:rRNA from 2 species
ACACAAUACCGAAGCUACGGGCACAUUAUGUGCGUUAGGAGAGCGUUUUAAUUUCGUUGAAGUCAGACCGUGAGGACUGGUGGAGAGAUUAAAAGUGAGAAUGCCGGCAUGAGUAACGAUUCGAAGUGAGAAUCUUCGACGCCUAUUGGGAAAGGUUUCCUGGGCAAGGUUCGUCCACCCAGGGUUAGUCAGGGCCUAAGAUGAGGCAGAAGCAUAGUCGAUGGACAACAGGUUAAUAUUCCUGUACUUGGUAAAAGAAUGAUGGAGUGACGAAAAAGGAUAGUUCUACCACUUACUGGAUUGUGGGGUAAGCAACAAGAGAGUUAUAUAGGCAAAUCCGUAUAGCAUAAUCUUGAGUUGUGAUGCAUAGUGAAGACUUCGGUCGAGUAACGAAUUGA